rnacentral:rRNA from 2 species
GGUCAGUAGUACAUGCAAGUCGAGCGGACAGAUGGGAGCUUGCUCCCUGAUGUUAGCGGCGGACGGGUGAGUAACACGUGGGUAACCUGCCUGUAAGACUGGGAUAACUCCGGGAAACCGGGGCUAAUACCGGAUGCUUGUUUGAACCGCAUGGUUCAAACAUAAAAGGUGGCUUCGGCUACCACUUACAGAUGGACCCGCGGCGCAUUAGCUAGUUGGUGAGGUAAUGGCUCACCAAGGCGACGAUGCGUAGCCGACCUGAGAGGGUGAUCGGCCACACUGGGACUGAGACACGGCCCAGACUCCUACGGGAGGCAGCAGUAGGGAAUCUUCCGCAAUGGACGAAAGUCUGACGGAGCAACGCCGCGUGAGUGAUGAAGGUUUUCGGAUCGUAAAGCUCUGUUGUUAGGGAAGAACAAGUACCGUUCGAAUAGGGCGGUACCUUGACGGUACCUAACCAGAAAGCCACGGCUAACUACGUGCCAGCAGCCGCGGUAAUACGUAGGUGGCAAGCGUUGUCCGGAAUUAUUGGGCGUAAAGGGCUCGCAGGCGGUUUCUUAAGUCUGAUGUGAAAGCCCCCGGCUCAACCGGGGAGGGUCAUUGGAAACUGGGGAACUUGAGUGCAGAAGAGGAGAGUGGAAUUCCACGUGUAGCGGUGAAAUGCGUAGAGAUGUGGAGGAACACCAGUGGCGAAGGCGACUCUCUGGUCUGUAACUGACGCUGAGGAGCGAAAGCGUGGGGAGCGAACAGGAUUAGAUACCCUGGUAGUCCACGCCGUAAACGAUGAGUGCUAAGUGUUAGGGGGUUUCCGCCCCUUAGUGCUGCAGCUAACGCAUUAAGCACUCCGCCUGGGGAGUACGGUCGCAAGACUGAAACUCAAAGGAAUUGACGGGGGCCCGCACAAACGUUGGAGCAUGUGGUUUAAUUCGAAGCAACGCGAAGAAACUUACCAGGUCUUGACAUCCUCUGACAAUCCUAGAGAUAGGACGUCCCCUUCCGGG